rnacentral:tRNA from 1 species
CAAAAUAAAGCUUUAGAGUAAAGUUUUUCAUUUACGGUGAGAGGAUUUUCGUGCGAUUCGAAUUAUUUUGA